UCAAGCGACUAAGUGUAUGUGGUGGAUGCCUUGGCGAUUACAGGCGAUGAAGGACGUCGCAGCCUGCGAAAAGCCGUGGGGAGCUGGCAAGCGAGCACUGAUCCACGGAUGUCCGAAUGAGGGAACUCACCCGCAAGGGUAUCUUGAAGUGAAUACAUAGCUUCAAGAGGCGAACGCAGCGAACUGAAACAUCUAAGUAGCUGCAGGAAAAGAAAUCAACCGAGAUUCUGAAAGUAGCGGCGAGCGAAAUUGGAAGAGCCUGCAAGUGAUAUUGAAUUCGAUACUGGAACGGUCUGGAAAGUCCGGCUACAGAGGGUGACAGCCCCGUACGGGAAAUUGGGUUCAAGGUACUGAGCUUGCGAGAAGUAGAGCGGGACACGUGAAAUCCUGCUCGAAGAUGGGGGGACCAUCCUCCAAGGCUAAAUACUCGUAAUCGACCGAUAGCGAACCAGUACUGUGAAGGAAAGGCGAAAAGAACCCCGGGAGGGGAGUGAAAUAGAUCCUGAAACCGCAUACAUACAAACAGUAGGAGCCCGCAAGGGUGACUGCGUACCUUUUGCAUAAUGGGUCAGCGACUUACGUUCAAUGGCAAGCUUAACCGAGUAGGGGAGGCGCAGCGAAAGCGAGUCCGAACAGGGCGACAUGAGUCGUUGGGCGUAGACCCGAAACCAGAUGAUCUAUCCAUGGCCAGGCUGAAGGUGUGGUAACACACACUGGAGGGCCGAACCGACUAGUGUUGCAAAAUUAGCGGAUGAGCUGUGGAUAGGGGUGAAAGGCUAAACAAAUCUGGAGAUAGCUGGUUCUCCCCGAAAACUAUUGAGGUAGUGCCUCGUGUAUGGCUCCAGGGGGUAGAGCACUGUUAUGGCUAGGGGGACAUGGCGUCUUACCAAACCAUGGCAAACUCCGAAUACUUGGAAGUCUGAGCACGGGAGACAGAGCACCGGGUGCUAACGUCCGGACUCAAAAGGGAAACAACCCAGACCGCCGGCUAAGGUCCCUAAUAUUGACUAAGUGGAAAACGAAGUGGGAAGGCUAAGACAGUCAGGAAGUUGGCUUAGAAGCAGCCAUCCUUCAAAGAAAGCGUAAUAGCUCACUGAUCGAGUCUUCCUGCGCGGAAGAUGUAACGGGGCUAAGUCAAUAACCGAAGCCGCGGAUUCGCAGCAAUGCGAGUGGUAGGGGAGCGUUCUGUAAGCCUGCGAAGGCGGAUCUGCGAGGACCGCUGGAGGUAUCAGAAGUGCGAAUGCUGACAUGAGUAACGUUAAAGCGGGUGAAAAGCCCGCUCGCCGCAAGCCCAAGGUUUCCUGCUCUACGUUCAUCGGAGCAGGGUGAGUCGGCCCCUAAGGUCAGGCUGAGAAGCGUAGCUGAUGGGAAGCUGGUUAAUAUUCCAGCACCGAUUUCAAGUGCGAAGGGGGGACGGAGUCCUGAAGGUCAUCCGGGUGUUGGAUAUCCCGGUUUACGAGCGUAGGAGGUUGACAGGCAAAUCCGUCAACGGAUCUCCAAGGCGAAGGAUCGAGGUUGAGAGAUCAACUGAAGUGACUGAAUGGGCUUCCAGGAAAAGCCUCUAAGCAUCAGCUUGGAAUUGACCGUACCGCAAACCGACACUGGUGGGCGAGCUGAAUAUGCUCAGGCGCUUGAGAGAACUCAGGAGAAGGAACUCGGCAAAUUGACACCGUAACUUCGGGAUAAGGUGUGCCUUUGUAGUGUGAAGAGAGAAACACUCCGAGCAUGAAGAGGCCUCAGAGAAUCGGUGGCUGCAACUGUUUACUAAAAACACAGCACUCUGCAAAGAUGAAAGUCGACGUAUAGGGUGUGAUGCCUGCCCGGUGCUGGAAGAUUAAUUGAUGGGGUGCAAGCUCCUGAUCGAAGUCCCAGUAAACGGCGGCCGUAACUAUAACGGUCCUAAGGUAGCGAAAUUCCUUGUCGGGCAAGUUCCGACCUGCACGAAUGGCAUAAUGAUGGCCACACUGUCUCCUCCUGAGACUCAGUGAAGUUGAAAUGUUUGUGAUGAUGCAAUCUCCCCGCGGCUAGACGGAAAGACCCCAUGAACCUUUACUGCAGCUUUGCAUUGGACUUUGAACCGAUCUGUGUAGGAUAGGUGGGAGGCAGUGAAGCUAGGACGCCAGUCUUAGCGGAGCCAACCUUGAAAUACCACCCUGAUUUGUUUGAGGUUCUAACCUAGGAGCGUGAUCCGCUUCGG
rnacentral:rRNA from 1 species